rnacentral:lncRNA from 1 species
AUAACCAGUCAUUCAUGUCUUUGUCAUUGAUGGCCUGGAGCAGGACCCCACGAUGCUUUGUGCAUACACCAAAGGUGUUGGGUGUCUUUACCAUUGCCUGCUGAUCCUCACUGUAUUCCACCUGAGCCGUGGAUAAGUUUAUGAGCCCUCUUUCCACAGGAUCUUUGUCACUGUUGUAAAUAAAAACAUAGGGACGGCGGACCACCACAAAGUGCUUGGCCCAGGAGCUGGAGAGUGGCUCUUUGAAGUGGAGGUAUCCUUUCUUUGACACCACAGAGCUGGAAAAACAAGCAAACCAAAGAAAAAAAC